CAGCAGUAGGGAAUCUUCCGCAAUGGACGAAAGUCUGACGGAGCAACGCCGCGUGAGUGAUGAAGGUUUUCGGAUCGUAAAACUCUGUUGUCAGGGAAGAACAAGUGCCGGAGUAACUGCCGGCACCUUGACGGUACCUGACCAGAAAGCCACGGCUAACUACGUGCCAGCAGCCGCGGUAAUACGUAGGUGGCAAGCGUUGUCCGGAAUUAUUGGGCGUAAAGCGCGCGCAGGCGGUUUCUUAAGUCUGAUGUGAAAGCCCCCGGCUCAACCGGGGAGGGUCAUUGGAAACUGGGAAACUUGAGUGCAGAAGAGGAGAGUGGAAUUCCACGUGUAGCGGUGAAAUGCGUAGAGAUGUGGAGGAACACCAGUGGCGAAGGCGACUCUCUGGUCUGUAACUGACGCUGAGGCGCGAAAGCGUGGGGAGCGAACAGGAUUAGAUACCCUGGUAGUCCACGCCGUAAACGAUGAGUGCUAAGUGUUAGAGGGUUUCCGCCCUUUAGUGCUGCAGCUAACGCAUAA
rnacentral:rRNA from 1 species